CAUUUCUUUUUGUUUAUAAUAUAAAGUUAGGCCUGCUCAAUGAAAAUUUAAAUAGCUGCGGUAUUUUGACCGUACAAAGGUAGCAUAAUCAUUAGUUUUUUAAUUGAAAGCUAGAAUGAAUGGUUUAACGAGAAAAUAGCUGUCUAUAUUAAUUAUUAGAAUUUAAUUUUUAAGUUAAAAAGCUUAAAUUUUUUUAAAAGACGAGAAGACCCUAUAGAUCUUUAUAAUAAUUUAUUUAUAAAAUUUUUAUAUAUUUUUUGAAUAAAUUAUUAUUUUAUUGGGGUGAUAUAAAGAUUAAAUAAACUCUUUAGAUUUAAAUUAAUUAUUUUUAUUUUAUUUUGAUCCAUUAUAAUGAUUAUUAGAUUAAGUUACCUUAGGGAUAACAGCGUAAUUUUUUUGUAGAGUUCUUAUCGAUAAAAAAGAUUGCGACCUCGAUGUUGGAUUAAGAAAUGAUUUGGGGGCAAAUUUUCAAAUUCAAGGUCUGUUCGACCUUUAAAUUCUUACAUGAUCUGAGU
rnacentral:rRNA from 1 species